rnacentral:rRNA from 1 species
CCUACGGGCGGCAGCAGUGAGGAAUAUUGGUCAAUGGCCGGAAGGCUGAACCAGCCAAGCCGCGUGAAGGACGAAGGUGCCAAGCAUUGUAAACUUCUUUUGUCAAGGGACAAAAUCAGGCUCGAGAGCCUGACCGAGGGUACUUGAAGAAAAAGCAUCGGCUAACUCCGUGCCAGCAGCCGCGGUAAUACGUAGGGGGCAAGCGUUGUUCGGAAUGACUGGGCGUAAAGGGUGUGUAGGUGGUUUGAUAAGUUAGAUGUGUAAUACCCAGGGCUUAACUCGGGUGCUGCAUCUAAAACUGUUAGACUUGAGUACUGGAGAGGAUAGUGGAAUUCCUAGUGUAGCGGUGGAAUGCGUAGAUAUUAGGAGGAACAUCAGUGGCGAAGGCGACUAUCUGGACAGCAACUGACACUGAGGCACGAAAGCGUGGGGAGCAAAUAGGAUUAGAUACCCUUGUAGUC